GGGCUCUUAGCUCAGUUGGUUAGAGCGCAGCGUUGACAUCGCUGAGGUCGCGUGUUCGAGCCACGCAGAGCCCA
rnacentral:tRNA from 1 species